rnacentral:rRNA from 1 species
UACGUAGGGAGCAAGCGUUGUUCGGAUUUACUGGGCGUAAAGGGCGCGUAGGCGGCAUGACAAGUCACUUGUGAAAUCUCUGGGCUUAACCCAGAACGGCCAAGUGAUACUGUCGCGCUAGAGUGCGGGAGGGGCAAUCGGAAUUCUCGGUGUAGCGGUGAAAUGCGUAGAUAUCGAGAGGAACACCUGAGGUGAAGACGGGUUGCUGGGCCGACACUGACGCUGAGUGCGCGAAAGCCAGGGGAGCAAACGGG